GACGAACGCUGGCGGCGUGCUUAACACAUGCAAGUCGAACGGAAAGGCCCUGCUUUUGUGGGGUGCUCGAGUGGCGAACGGGUGAGUAACACGUGAGUAACCUGCCCUUGACUUUGGGAUAACUUCAGGAAACUGGGGCUAAUACCGGAUAGGAGCUCCUGCUGCAUGGUGGUGGUUGGAAAGUUUCGGCGGUUGGGGAUGGACUCGCGGCUUAUCAGCUUGUUUGUGUGGUAGUGGCUUACCAAGGCUUUGACGGGUAGCCGGCCUGAGAGGGUGACCGGGCACAUUGGGACUGAGAUAGGGACCAGAAUGCAACGGGAGGCAGCAGUGGGGAAUAUUGCACAAUGGGGGGAAGCGAGAUGCAGAAAGGCCGCGUGCGGGAUGACGGCCUUCGGGUUGUAAACAGAUUUGGAAUGUGACGAAGAGUGAGUGACGGUAAUGGGUAAAGAAGCACCGGCUAACUACGUG
rnacentral:rRNA from 1 species